GUCUCUUCGGGGACAUCCAAUAAAAUUGGAACGAUAUAAAGAAGAUUAAUAUAACCCUUGUGCAAAGAUGACACACACAAAUCAACAAAUGGUCCAAUUUUUU